rnacentral:misc_RNA from 1 species
UUAGUGAUCAAGCGAGCUGCGGCCACGGACAUCGCAGCAGAAAGCGGCACGGCGAAUGCCGCUUGCUUGAAUGCAGCAACAACGAUCAAGUUCCACACAUACAAGGUAGACACACCACCUUCUUUCUCCUCUCGUGCCUUGUAGCCUUGAGACACGACAGCACCUACCCUUUGUUUUUUCUUCCUCGCUUCCUAUCCAUCGACAACACACGCGUACACACGCGAGUCUGCCAUGUCGCAUCUGCUUGAGCACAGCUUCCUCUUUACCACAGAGGAGCGACAACUCAUCUACCAUGCCAACAGCGACGUCAACACCCGCCCCGUGAGCUUCGUCACUCGCAUUUUUUACCCGAUCUGGAUUCGUAUCAGCACGCAUCUGCUCAGCGAUCUCGUGGCGCCGAACGCCAUCACAUUGGCAGGGCUUCUUAGCAGCAUGCAGGCGUACCAGCUCAUUAACACGUACUACCAUUUUGGCGAUCAGCAGCACGGCCCGCACGCGGUGCUGUGCGACGUGAAGUCGUCGUUGCAGGCGUUUGGACUCCGUGGCGCCGGCCAGGUACCCCUCGCAGCUGAGAAGACUGUCGUGGGAGAGAUGGCCUCUGCCUACAAAGCCGGGCCAGGCGCUGCGGCCAAGACGGCCAAGGCCAUGGGUGCCGCCGCUGCCGCCGCUGCCACAAGUGCUGCGAGCGGUCAAAUCUUAAAGCCUCCAGAGACCGACUAUGUGGACUUUUUCCAUACUGACCGCACGGUGCAGACGGCCACGGUUCUGGCAAUUCUUCUCCUGGUCAUCUCUAUCACGUGCGGCUCUUUGGACGGCGUGCACGCGCGGCGCUGUCGCAGCGCCACCAGCCUGGGCGACAUCUUCUCCCGCAUCUGCUCCUCCAUGGCGCGCGUCUUUAUGGCGCUAACGCUGCUGGAGGUGUUUCAAAUCGAGGACGUGUGCACGAAGUGGUACUUCCUGCUCGCCCUGCAGCUGAUUGAGCUGAAUACGGUGCUUGGCCGCAUCAACGCGUCGAACUUGAAGAAGGACCGCGUGAAGAAUGUGGCGUACGUUGCGACGUACUGCUUCCGUGAAUCGGAGUUGUCGUUCCUCAUGGUGUUGCUCCUCAUCGCCCGUUGGUUCUACCCUACCGCGUGCCGCGACAUCCUCGGCGUCAUCUUGGCGAAGGCGCAGGUGGGCUACAACACCCUCGUCGUCGCCACCUUUGUGAGCAUUGCGCUUCUCAAGAUGAAGAAGCUGUACAAGGGGAUUAUUUUGCUCUGCCUCGCCGCCCGUGUGCUGCCGCUCUUCUACCUCUUGCCGCUAAGCCAGUACAGCUUGCUGAGCGUCAUUGGCGAUGCCAUGAUUGUAGGACUGCUGUCCAUCGAGGUGUACGUCAGCCACCUCGCCCAGCGCCGCAUCCACGCCGCAGUUUUUUUCCUUUGCCUCGGCUCGCUGCUGAACGACGUGCUCUCUGUGGCCGGGUCUAUAAUGUACUUGAUUGCCAUGCUGGUGGACUUGUCGUACUCGCUGAACGUACCGCUUUUCACGCCUGUGCGUAACGUGUUCAUCGACGGUGUCUUCGACCUCUGCCACGCCGGACACAAGAAGCUGAUGGCUAAUGCUCUCAAGUUCGGCAACCGUCUCAUCGUUGGCGUCUGCGGCGACGAGGAGUGCGCCUCAUACAAACGUCCGCCGAUCAUGACCACCGAAGAGCGUAUCAAUGAGGUGCGCCUGUGCAAGUACGUCUCAGAAGUGAUUCCCAACUCACCAGUGACGGGCAUCACGGCGGAGAUGAUCCGGUACUACAAUAUACACGUAGUUGUCUGUGGCGAGGAGUACAACACUCCGACAGACACGUACUACGCGGUACCGCGCCGCAUGGGCAUCCUGCGCACAGUGCCAAGAACUCCCGGCAUCUCCACCAGCGUUCUCAUCUCGCGCAUCCGUGCCGCCAGUGACAGCUCUAUAAAGGCAAAGGACAGGAAGAGUGACGUGCCAACGGUGAAGGACGGGGCAUAAGUGGAGAUGCUGACGUCUUCUUCUUGUGUGCAAGCUGCUGGGCCCUGUGUCUUUGGCGGACGCCCUUCUGCAGUCUGUAUCGGUGCUGAAUUCUCCGGUGAUAGCGUGUACGCACACUACGUCGAGGCGUUUUCACGAAUGCACGUGCGUGCACCCCCUCCUCUCUCGCUACUGCUUUCCUCUGCUCUUGGCCUUCCAAAGGGUGUCUGAAAGCAACCAUGAUAGGCGUGAGAAAUGUAUUUGUGGGCACGACAGUGCAUCGCCGUCGCUGAAGAACAAGGGGCUCGGCGGCGAUGACUACUGCGCAAGCACAAAUACAUCUCUCUCUCUCUCUCUGUGUGUGUGUGUGUGUGUGUGUGUGUGUGUGUGUGUGUGUGUGUGUGUGUGUGUGUGUGUGUGUGUGUGUGUGUGUGUGUGGUGUGUGUGUGUGUGUGUGUGUGUGUGUGUGUGUGUGUGUGUGUGUGUGUGUGUGUGUGUGUGUGUGUGUGUGUGUCGGCUUCGGUAAUGUGUGGACCUGCGCGCUCCUUCCGCUUUGUACCUUUUCUAGUUGUGGUGGCUCUCCCAAGGAAGGGCAGACGACAAGAAAAAAGAAGUCGGCGCGCGCCGUAUCACGCUUCUCGCCUGGAUGACCUUCACCCCUCCUUCCUUGUGCUCUUACGUGAUUGCCUUCUGUAUGCGUCUGCGACCGUCAUGAGCAAAAGACAGCUUUGUUUUGCGUAGCAAAGGUGUGCUGGUGGUGCUGUCACGGUCGUCUUCGCCGAUUCGGCUGCCCAUGUGUAUGCACACACACACACACACACACACGUGCAUACUUCUAUAUACAUAUAUAUGUAUAUGUAAACAUAAACACGCAGAUAUGUAUGCGUAUGCAUGCGUAUAUAUAUAUAUAUGUGCAAGUAUACACAUUUUGUGCUCGCGUUCAAGCAGUCGUGCACUUUCUCUGUUUGCCUGCGUAUUUUUUUUUUUGCUCCCUUCGCCUCUGGUCUCCUUUCACGUGUGAUUCUCCAGCCCUGUGCUUUCCGCCCUCCUCUUCCUCUGCCACUCUAUCUGUGCGAGUGUCUUUUUUGAUGGCGCACCUCUUGAGAAUACGCGUAAACUCGGGGCUCAGAUAUGUGUGCGUCUCUGCGUGCGCGGGCGUGUGUAGCCUUUUUUUUUAUGGUUAUUGCAUUUCUACCUUAUCGCGUAGUUAAUGGCAUUUCUUUAUCUAUGCUCAUGCCUAUCUUAUCGUUUUUGCUUUUUCUCUGCGUGGGUGCUUCAUCGGUCGCACGGUAGUCUUCGAUAUAUAUAUAUAUAUAUAUAUAUUUGUUUGUUUCUCUUUUCGAUCAUUGCUGUCGUGUGAAGCUGACGCACAUUUUGUGCUGAUACACGCACACACACGCACACAUGCAAGGCCAGGGUGAGAGAACAAGGGGAGGGGUAUGCAACCGCGCGCACAGAAACCGAGACGACAGGGGCAAGUAGUGGCUGCCUUGCAGUGGUGCUCAUAGUGAAGCCAUAGUCGGCGUCAAAGCACACGUCUGCACGGACAUACGCGCACAGAUGAGAGUGUCCGCUUCAUUCGAGUCGUCUGAGCUGCGCAUCUGAAACGCAAUACUUACGCAUAUGCAUCAAGCACACACAUAUGCGAUAUCAGCGGAAGGGCACACGCACACGCGCGCGCCAAGGAAACUAAAUGUACCGUGCAGACUUGAGCGGUAACGACGGGGGCGCUUAACAAUAAGUCGCGCGCCUUGAACACCUGUGCUUAGGUCAUUGUGCAUUCUUUAUGGGGGCCUUAGCGCUCACAACCGUCACUCUUGGCUUUUGUUGGGGUCCUCCGCGGCGAGGCCCUGCUGACGGGGGGACACCCCUCAGUGCAUGGCAUCCGCUGCCCGCUCUGUGUGCACGAAAGCCAAGCAGCCUCCCCCUAUCCCCUGCCAAUGCCGAACCACCUCUGGUGGUGCCACGGCUAAGCGCCUGCGACGUCGGGGAGUCAAAGCGCUUCAUCGCUGUUGAUGUCGGCGGUGAUGUCCUGGAUGGCACCGUGCCGGAGCGACCUGCGACGGUGAGCACGCUUGUGCCAUCCAUGUGCCGGCGACGUGUCGGCGUCGCUCGAACGCGUAUCCCACCCCCGGCCCACGCACUGCCUUACUGGCGUGAGGGGCCUGAGUGCCACCCCGAGGGGGAUGUACACCAGGUGUGGUGACCGGCAUGAUGGGGGAGCCGCUGUGAGGCGACCUGCGGAGCCGAGUGUGGGUAGAGUUCGAGCUCGAGGCCGAGGCCGAGGCCGUGCUCAGGUGGCUGAGUGGACGCAGUGCUGUAAGGCGCGUGCCCCCAGGGCUGCUUGGCACGACGCGAUGGUGCCUGCGACGGUCCCGGGGCGGGGUGUUGGGGGCCGAGUGGCGCUUGACCUCGUGCUGUACGGCAGCGACAUGGGCACGUUGAACGAAACCGGAAAAGUGGGCCGCACACAUACAGGCAAAGCAUAGAAAGAAAGCUGCGCAUCAUUGCGAGGUGCUCAGCGUUGCGUUUGGUGUCUCUUGCGUUUCUGCCGCUGCUUUAUAUCUCUCUCUUUCUGUGCGCCUGCGCUUCUAGCGUUCUCAUUCUUUUUCUUUCUAUUUCUGUCGCGCGCGCCGAGCCCAUUUUGGAGUGCUUCCAGCCG